AAAAUAAUAUUCAUACAAAAAUAACAUUGGUAAAUUUAAAAGCUUUUUUCUUUUUAAUCCUAAGACUGAGGUGGUAAAUUUCCAUAAACAUGAUGGAAGCACCUCUGAAGGUAAGGAAAAUGAAAAUGGCGGCGAUAUUGAAGAAACCAAAAAUGCUAAUAUUAACCCCAGUUAACCCCUCCAAAAACCUUGCUCAAACCCUCUUAUUCCCAUCAAUCUAUUCAUUUGCAGCAAAACCCAAGCCCAUAAACUAUCCCAAAUUCUCCUUCUCGGUUAUUUGCAGCCAAAGCCAACAAAAAUAUCCACCUUUCGAUUCUUUGCUCAACUCUUAUCGUAAAGAAGAAGUUCGUUUCACCAUAAAAGACAAGACUCAAUUCACAGUUGUUUAUCAGAGACUAAUCUUCAUUUGAUAGCUUCUGGUCUGAAAUCCAAAACUAGAGGCAAGGUUAGAGAUAUAUAUGAUGGCGGGGGUUAUCUUGUAUUAGUGACUACUGAUCGUCAAAGUGCAUUUGAUAGGAUUCUUGCCUCUAUCCCAUUCAAGGGCCAGGUUUUUAUACUUGCUACUUUGUUGAUGAUGGUGAAUAUUUAUAGUAGUAAUUGAGAUGAAGGGAUUAUUGUUGGGAUGUCAAUUUUCUGGUUCUUAAUGAGACAAGUUUGUGGUGGUUUAAUAGAACACGACAUAUAACUCCAGAUGCUGUUUUCUCAGUACCAUAUAAAAAUGUUGCAACUGCUAAGAAAGGUUCUGUCUUUCCUAUUGAAUUUGUUGGUAAGUUUCUUUCAUAUUCUCAUAUUUCAUUUUGCCAUAAAGAUGGGAUAAUUUCAUAAGAUAUGGAAGAUAAAAGGCCUGUUUGGUGUGGUUAUUAUGUAUAAAUGUUGAUGAUUAAAAUUACCUUUAUGCUAAUUUUAAAAGUUGUUAUGAUUAGCUGUUUGGUGACAAAAAAUAAAAUAAAAUUGAAUAGUUGUUUGAUAA